rnacentral:rRNA from 1 species
AUUGAACGCUGGCGGCAGGCCUAACACAUGCAAGUCGAGCGGCAGCGGGAAAGUAGCUUGCUACUUUUGCCGGCGAGCGGCGGACGGGUGAGUAAUGCCUGGGGAUCUGCCCGGUCGAGGGGGAUAACUACUGGAAACGGUACCUAAUACCGCAUACGCCCUACGGGGGAAAGCAGGGGACCUUCGGGCCUUGCGCGAUUGGAUGAACCCAGGUGGGAUUAGCUAGGUGGUGAGGUAAUGGCUCACCAAGGCGACGAUCCCUAGCUGGUCUGAGAGGAUGAUCAGCCACACUGGAACUGAGAAACGGUACAGACUCCUACGGGAGGCAGCAGUGGGGAAUAUUGCACAAUGGGGGAAACCCUGAUGCAGCCAUGCCGCGUGUGUGAAGAAGGCCUUCGGGUUGUAAAGCACUUUCAGCGAGGAGGAAAGGUUGGUAGCUAAUAACUGCCAGCUGUGACGUUACUCGCAGAAGAAGCACCGGCUAACUCCGUGCCAGCAGCCGCCGCGGUAAAAC